rnacentral:rRNA from 1 species
GACGAACGCUGGCGGCGUGCUUAACGCAUGCAAGUCGAACGGAAAGGCCCUGCUUUUGUGGGGUGCUCGAGUGGCGAACGGGUGAGUAACACGUGAGUAGCCUGCCCUUGACUUUGGGAUAACUUCAGGAAACUGGGGCUAAUACCGGAUAGGAGCUCCUGCUGCAUGGUGGGGGUUGGAAAGUUUCGGCGGUUGGGGAUGGACUCGCGGCUUAUCAGCUUGUUGGUGGGGUAGUGGCUUACCAAGGCUUUGACGGGUAGCCGGCCUGAGAGGGUGACCGGCCACAUGGGGACUGAGAUACGGCCCAGACGCCUACGGGAGGCAGCAGUGGGGAAUAUUGCACAAUGGGCGGAAGCCUGAUGAAGCAACGCCGCGUGCGGGAUGACGGCCUUCGGGUUGUAAACCGCUUUCGCCUGUGACGAAGCGUGAGUGACGGUAAUGGGUAAAGAAGCACCGGCUAACUACGUG